UCUACCUCUUUCUUCAAUAAAUAUGCUGCCACAUCAGCAAAAUAUCAUAAAUAAUAUGUAAUUAAUUGUCUUGGACUCUGUGAUAGAGUCUUGCAUUGUGAGUGCUCUUAUAUAUUAAGGCGAUAUUUUGGGUUGUUUGUUUGUAGCCAUAACUUGUCACUAUUCACUGCGCUUAGGAUUAGAUUAGAAAAGUUUGAUUAACUAUGGCUGCCGUUCGGUCACCACCACAUAGUACGCCAUAAUUCUUUUUCACUAAACUAUUAGUCUAUGAUAAAAGAAUGUGGCAAGCCAGAUUCUCUCAACAAACUUACAAAAGUGUGACAAAUAUUUUGAGCCCUUAACUUUGGACAAAAAAAUUAAAUCCUAUUAGAUUAUCUAUUUUGGAACAGAGAGAGUACUAGCAUGUCAAUAUUGAAUUCCUUCAUAAGUACAGAUCCUAAAGUACAGAGUCUGAAAAUUCUUUUAAGAAAACAUGACAAUAAGAAAAAGGAAAACCAUAUUAAUAACUAUACUAUAAAAGAUAAAAGAUACUCCAUCCUCCCUCCAUCUCAAAAUAUUUACACUUUUAGCAUUUGAAAUUUGUCUCACAAUAAAUGCACUUCUAGAUAUGAUCCACUUAGUUUUAAUAGUUUUUAAAUUGUUUUUUCUACUUUCAAAAGUGCAAUCAUUAUAUGGUAAAAUAGCUUUUGAUGGGGGUAAGUAUGCAAUUUUCAAGUAACAUCAAUCUUCUCCAAGAAUCUUAUAAACAGAUUUACUUUUGGAUGAGGGGAGUAGAAAAAAAAUAAUUUCUAGCACUCAUGUGUUGUCUCGAAAAGAAUUAUUUAUCAUACGGGGUGUGGACGUGUGGUAUACUAUAGAUGUACGGAGCACUAAGCAAUAAAGUAUAGCGUUUAUAGGUGCAAUCAUCUAUUUUUGUCUAAUCAACACAUGUGGAGAAUAUUUAUUAAGUGCUAACUUUUUUGUUAUGUGAGAAAUUAUAUUCUUUAUUUACUUCAACAAUCAGGACUGUUUAGAAUUCGGAAUUUUUUUUUUUGCUCCUACAUUUUUUUUGAAGCUACUCAUAAACUGAUUUUUAUAAUUUUUGUUACAACAAAAAGAAGAGUUAUAUAGAAUGGUGAGGUGGAAGAGAAAGGUAAGGAGAGAAGAGAAGCAGGUUGAAAGCUUAUAGCCGACUUGGAUAAAGAACCAAAAUAUUCCGUGAGAUAGACAAGUCGGUCAUAUAUUAGGUCGACUGAGAGACAUGACUAUAUUAUUAGGGGGUGUUUGGUUGGAGGGAAACUAAAGUUUAAUAAAUAUCAUAGCAUAUUUCUAACCAUAGCAAUUAGUGUUCAAUUAUAGACUAAUUAGGUAUAAAAAAUCAUCUCAUAAAUUAUUCUGUAAUUGUGUUUUUAGUUUCGUAAAUAAUCUACAUUUAAUACUAUAUAUAUAUAUGAAUUCAAACAUUGUUUAGUUUAUGAAACUUUUUGGGUUCUACUGUUGUAGCAUUUUUGUUUGUUUGGUAAUUAUUGUCUAAUUAUGAACUAAUUAAAUUUAAAAAAAUCAUCUUAUAAUUUAUAAAUAAACUAUAUAAUUAAUUAUUUUUAUUUAUAUUCGAUGUUUUAUAUAUGCGUCGAAAAUUUCACAUCUGGCCCAGCCGUGCUAGUACGAGUGAAGAACUCGAGGUGGGAUGGGACGGGAGUGGGGCGGAGCUCACGUUAGCACUGACAGUCUGACACCUCCUUGGCAUUGACAGGAGGGGGCGGGUGGUGACCUGGGAACAACUCAUGCAUCGGCGUCGGUUUCCGAGAGAGGGAGUACAGCCAUUGGAAGGAGAAGAAUAGCAGGCCGCCGCCAUCUUCUCGCGAUAAACCAACCGCUCGUGUCGUCGUCAGCUGGUCACUCACACUUCACUCGGGAGAAACAAGCGAAAGCGAAAGAGAAAGCGAAAAGCUCUGCUCCUCCUCCGUCUGCGUCUCCCUCCCCCUCUGCGUGCUCUGAAAAGAAAACGAAAGAGGUUGGCAGGACCCGUCUUGUUAGUUCCUAAAAUUUUUUGGAUUCGUUUUUAUUUGACAAAUAUUGUUGAGUAACUAGGUUCAAAAGAUUCAUCUCGCGAUUUACAGUCAAACUGUAUAAUUAGUUUUUGUUUUUAUCUAUAUUUGAUGCUCCAUACAUAUGCCGCAAGAUUCGAUAUGACGAGAAAUCUUAAAAAGUUUUUGGUUUUUGUGUGAAUUAAACAAGGCCUAAAAUAUUUAAGUAGGCCAGUUCAGCUCGUAAAAAUAACUAAUUAUAUAAUUUACUUGUAAUCUAUAAAAUAAGUCUUUUAAAUUUAGUUAAUUCAUAAUUAAAUAAACAAUAAAAGUUUUCGCCCAUGACCAUCUUUUUACCGCUACUAUUUGCCGUCACAGUCUCCCUCCCUCGCUCUCGUUAUCUGUGCGGCCUGCCGCGGAGUACGGACGGGAUUGUCUUCUUGCGAGGAUCCUAUGCGUCCAGCCAUUUGUGUGCACGCCCUCGUGGCCGGAAUCCGUUUGGAUGCUGGUGCUGCCUCCCCAACAGACCGCGGACAGCUUAUCGAAUGUUAUAAACAUUACUAAUAAUUUUAUUUAUCUCUAAAAAAAAUUUUAUUAAAAAAAUAUGUUCCAUUUUUAAUCUGACAAUGCUGGUUCACAAUAAGUACUAUGCUCCAAAAUGUACAUGAGUUCGGAGGAUUGUAUAACUAUCCUGGAUAGCAAGAAUCUUUUAUGUUUCAAAAUAGACGUAAUAUAUUUAUUUCUAUUGGCUCUUUAAAGUUGAAGGAAUUUAAUUUAAUUUAGCACAAAACAAAAAAAAACAAUCCAUGUUCCUAGCAGAGAGCCACUUUACGAGAUCAAAUGCACCCGUAUGUUAAUACUUCUCUGGCCUUUUGUUUAGAUCUUAUGGUCUAAAAUUCAACCACUAAAUUUUUGGACUCCUUAGCUAU
rnacentral:lncRNA from 1 species